CGGAGGGUGCAAGCGUUAUCCGGAUUCACUGGGUUUAAAGGGUGUGUAGGCGGGCAGUUAAGUCAGUGGUGAAAUCUCCGGGCUCAACCCGGAAACUGCCAUUGAUACUAUCUGUCUUGAAUACCGAUGAGGUGGGCGGAAUAUGUCAUGUAGCGGUGAAAUGCAUAGAUAUGACAUAGAAUACCAAUUGCGAAGGCAGCUCACUAAACGGUCAUUGACGCUGAGGCACGAAAGCGUGGGGAUCAAACAGGAUUAGAUACCCUGGUAGUCCACGCCCUAAACGAUGAUUACUCGACAUACGCGAUACACAGUGUGUGACUGAGCGAAAGCAUUAAGUAAUCCACCUGGGAAGUACGUCCGCAAGGAUG
rnacentral:rRNA from 1 species